rnacentral:rRNA from 1 species
GACAGAGGGUGCAAACGUUUCUCGGAAUCACUGGGCGUAAAGGGCGUGUAGGCGGGAGAGAAAGUCGGGCGUGAAAUCCCUAGGCUCAACCUAGGAACUGCACUCGAAACUUCUUUUCUUGAGUGCCGGAGAGGAAAGCGGAAUACCUGGUGUAGAGGUGAAAUUCGUAGAUAUCAGGUGGAACACCAGUGGCGAAGGCGGCUUUCUGGACGGUAACUGACGCUGAGACGCGAAAGCGUGGGGAGCAAACAGG